rnacentral:rRNA from 2 species
AAACUUUCAACAACGGAUCUCUUGGUUCUCGCAUCGAUGAAGAACGCAGCGAAAUGCGAUACGUAAUGUGAAUUGCAGAUAUUCGUGAAUCAUUGAAUCUUUGAACGCACCUUGCGCCCUUUGGUAUUCCAGAGGGCAUGCCUGUUUGAGCGUCAUU